AACGAACGCUGGCGGCAUGCCUAACACAUGCAAGUCGAACGAGACCUUCGGGUCUAGUGGCGCACGGGUGCGUAACGCGUGGGAACCUGCCCUUAGGUUCGGAAUAACUCCCCGAAAGGGGUGCUAAUACCGGAUAAUGUCUUCGGACCAAAGAUUUAUCGCCUUUGGAUGGGCCCGCGUUGGAUUAGCUAGUUGGUAGGGUAAAAGCCUACCAAGGCGACGAUCCAUAGCUGGUCUGAGAGGAUGAUCAGCCACACUGGGACUGAGACACGGCCCAGACUCCUACGGGAGGAAGCAGUGGGGAAUAUUGGACAAUGGGCGAAAGCCUGAGCCAGCAAUGCCGCGUGAGUGAUGAAGGCCUUAGGGUUGUAAAGCUAUUUUACCCGGGAUGAUAAUGACAGUACCGGGAGAAUAAGCGCCGGCUAACUCCGUG
rnacentral:rRNA from 1 species